AUAAACACUUUCUAGGGUUCCGCUCGAAGAGGUCUGGUCCGAGGGAAAGUGCAGCACAAGAUUCGUGCUGUUCACGGAGGGAAAAAAGCCCGGGAGAU
rnacentral:sRNA from 2 species